AUCUAUUGUAGUCUAAUUGAUUAAAAUAUUUGGCUCUCACCCAAAAAGACCCGGGUUCAAGUCCCCGCAACGGAAA
rnacentral:tRNA from 1 species